rnacentral:rRNA from 2 species
UUUGAUCCUGGCUCAGAGCGAACGCUGGCGGCAGGCUUAACACAUGCAAGUCGAGCGGGCGUAGCAAUACGUCAGCGGCAGACGGGUGAGUAACGCGUGGGAACGUACCUUUUGGUUCGGAACAACACAGGGAAACUUGUGCUAAUACCGGAUAAGCCCUUACGGGGAAAGAUUUAUCGCCGAAAGAUCGGCCCGCGUCUGAUUAGCUAGUUGGUGGGGUAACGGCCUACCAAGGCGACGAUCAGUAGCUGGUCUGAGAGGAUGAUCAGCCACAUUGGGACUGAGACACGGCCCAAACUCCUACGGGAGGCAGCAGUGGGGAAUAUUGGACAAUGGGGGCAACCCUGAUCCAGCCAUGCCGCGUGAGUGAUGAAGGCCCUAGGGUUGUAAAGCUCUUUUGUGCGGGAAGAUAAUGACGGUACCGCAAGAAUAAG